ACCUCUGUUGCUUUGGCGGCUCCGGCCGCCAAAGGACCUCCAAACUCCAGUCAGUAAACGCAGACGUCUGAUAAACAAGUUAAUAAACUAAAACUUUCAACAACGGAUCUCUUGGUUCUGGCAUCGAUGAAGAACGCAGCGAAAUGCGAUAAGUAAUGUGAAUUGCAGAAUUCAGUGAAUCAUCGAAUCUUUGAACGCACAUUGCGCCCCUUGGUAUUCCGGGGGGCAUGCCUGUUCGAGCGUCAUUACAACCCUCAAGCUCUGCUUGGAAUUGGGCACCGUCCUCACUGCGGACGCGCCUCAAAGACCUCGGCGGUGGCUGUUCAGCCCUCAAGCGUAGUAGAAUACACCUCGCUUUGGAGUGGUUGGCGUCGCCCGCCGGACGAACCUUCUGAACUUUUCUCAAGGUUGACCUCGGAUCAGGUAGGGAUACCCGCUGAACUUAAGCAUAUCAAUAAGCGGAGGAAAAGAAACCAACAGGGAUUGCCUUAGUAACGGCGAGUGAAGCGGCAACAGCUCAAAUUUGAAAGCUGGCCCUUUUAGGGUCCGCGUUGUAAUUUGUAGAGGAUGAUUCGGCGAGGGCUCCUGCCUAAGUCCCCUGGAACGGGGCGUCAUAGAGGGUGAGAAUCCCGUAUGCGGUAGGUUGCCUUAGCCAUGUGAAUCUCCUUCGACGAGUCGAGUUGUUUGGGAAUGCAGCUCUAAAUGGGAGGUAAAUUUCUUCUAAAGCUAAAUACUGGCCAGAGACCGAUAGCGCACAAGUAGAGUGAUCGAAAGAUGAAAAGCACUUUGGAAAGAGAGUUAAAAAGUACGUGAAAUUGUUGAAAGGGAAGCGCUUGCAACCAGACUUGUCCGCAGUUGCUCAGCCGGUCUCCUGACCGGCGUACUCUUCUGCGGCCAGGCCAGCAUCAGUUCGGGCGGUCGGAUAAAGGCCUCGGGAAUGU
rnacentral:rRNA from 1 species